rnacentral:misc_RNA from 1 species
CUCAUUUGUUGUCUUUAAUUAUUUCCCUUGUGUCAAGAUCUGCUAAACCCGUUCCUUUCCCUUUUUUGGCUCUUUCCUUGGUGGUCUCCCAUGCUAUUUAAAAAUUUUACUUCUCUUAUAGGGUGUUGUCUGCAUCUGCCCACUUACCGCUGUUUAUUUUUUGCCUCAAAUUUUCUGUUCAAUAAAAAAUGAUGGUUGAAGUUCCUAGGUAGCCAGUAUACGUGAGGUUAAAUGGACAAUUUAGCUAGAUGGUCUGAUUAAUUUCACAUGUGUUGGCUGCUAGUCUUAUUCACCAUCAUUUUUUCAAGUAGGGAACUUGCUGGCAGUUGGAUUAUUCCUUUGUCCUUCAACAGCCAAAAUUUCUUUCUUCCAUUCAUUCUUCCACUCCAAUCAUAAUAUAAAUCAUUUUACUGGAAUUGGCUAAUGUGGCAGUUUAUUCACUGUCCAGAAGCAUUAUUUUUAUUCAAGUGAUAAUUGGAGCUCUAAUACUAUGUGCUGCAUUGAA